rnacentral:rRNA from 1 species
AGAACGAACGCUGGCGGAGUGCUUAAUACAUGCAAGUCGUGCGAGAAAGUAGUCUUCGGACUGCGAGUAGAGCGGCGAACGGGUGAGUAACACGUAAGUAACCUGCCUCUAAAUUUGGGAUAACCUUGCUAAAGCGGGGCUAAUACCGGAUGUGAUCAUUUUUCUGCAUGGUUAGAUGAUUAAAGGUGACCUCUUCUUGAAAGUUACUGUUUAGAGAUGGACUUGCGUACCAUUAGUUUGUUGGUGGGGUAACGGCCUACCAAGACUACGAUGGUUAGCCGACCUGAGAGGGUGAUCGGCCACAUUGGGACUGAGAUACGGCCCAGACUCCUACGGGAGGCAGCAGUAGGGAAUUUUGCGCAAUGGACGAAAGUCUGACGCAGCAGCUCCGCGUGAGGGAUGAAUGUCUUCGGAUUGUAAACCUCUGUUGAGUAGGAAGAAAAGUUUAUAUGUUAGUACCAUAUAGAUAUGACGGUACUAUUCGAGGAAGCACCGGCUAACUACGUGCCAGCAGCCGCGGUAAUACGUAGGGUGCAAGCGUUGUUCGGAAUCACUGGGCGUAAAGAGAGCGUAGGUGGAAAAGUAAGUUAGAAGUGAAAUGUAUCGGCUCAACCGGUAAUCUGCUUUUAAUACUGCUUUUCUUGAAUAUCGGAGAGGUAGAUGGAAUUUCAGGUGUAGCGGUGGAAUGCGUAGAUAUCUGAAAGAACACCAGUUGCGAAGGCGGUCUACUGGACGAAUAUUGACACUGAGGCUCGAAAGCUAGGGGAGCGAACAGGAUUAGAUACCCUGGUAGUCCUAGCCGUAAACGAUGGACACUAGAUGCUGGGGAUAUUAUUUUCUCAGUGUCGUAGCUAACGCAUUAAGUGUCCCGCCUGGGGAGUACGCUCGCAAGAGUG